GACGAACCGUGCGAACGUUGUUCGGAAUCACUGGGCUUAAAGGGCGCGUAGGCGGGUGACCAAGUCAGGGGUGAAAUCCUCCGGCUCAACCGGAGAACUGCCUUUGAUACUGGUCGUCUGGAGUGAGGUAGGGGCAUGCGGAACUUCCGGUGGAGCGGUGAAAUGCGUAGAUAUCGGAAGGAACACCGGUGGCGAAGGCGGCGUGCUGGACCUCAACUGACGCUGAGGCGCGAAAGCCAGGGGAGCAAACGGG
rnacentral:rRNA from 1 species